rnacentral:rRNA from 1 species
UACAGAGGUCUCAAGCGUUGUUCGGAUUCAUUGGGCGUAAAGGGCGCGUAGGCUGCGGGGCAAGUCGGGUGUGAAAUCUCAAGCAGGCUCAACCUCUGAAACUGCACGUCGAUACUGCUUUGCGUCGAGGACUUGGAGAGGAGAGUUGGAAAUUCACGGUGUAGCAGUGAAAUGCGUAGAUAUCGAUGAGGAAGACCAGUGGCGAAGGCGGAUCUCUGGACGAGUUCUGACGGCUGGAGGCGACGGAAGGCCAGGGGAGCAAACGGG